UGGGGAAUAUUGCACAAUGGGCGCAAGCCUGAUGCAGCCAUGCCGCGUGUAUGAAGAAGGCCUUCGGGUUGUAAAGUACUUUCAGCGGGGAGGAAGGUGCUGAGGUUAAUAACCUCAGCAAUUGACGUUACCCGCAGAAGAAGCACCGGCUAACUCCGUGCCAGCAGCCGCGGUAAUACGGAGGGUGCAAGCGUUAAUCGGAAUUACUGGGCGUAAAGCGCACGCAGGCGGUCUGUCAAGUCGGAUGUGAAAUCCCCGGGCUCAACCUGGGAACUGCAUUCGAAACUGGCAGGCUAGAGUCUUGUAGAGGGGGGUAGAAUUCCAGGUGUAGCGGUGAAAUGCGUAGAGAUCUGGAGGAAUACCGGUGGCGAAGGCGGCCCCCUGGACAAAGACUGACGCUCAGGUGCGAAAGCGUGGGGAGCAAACAGG
rnacentral:rRNA from 2 species